CGGCACUUGCGCCAGGUGCCUGAGACACUGCAGGGGCUGUGCCUCUGAGGCCUUCAGCAACUCCUGCUCCCUGCUGCAGCAGGAGGACAUCACGGCCAAAGUGAUGCACCAGCAGCGCAUCAUUGCGCACUUGCGCCAGGUGCCUGAGACACUGCAGGGGCUGUGCCUCUGAGGCCAUCAGCAACUCCCGCUCCCUGCUGCAGGUACUGCUCUGGCUCACUGUAAAUGGGGAGCUAGUGGAAGGGGAAAUUGAGACCCCUGGCA
rnacentral:lncRNA from 1 species